UACGGAGGGUGCAAGCGUUGUUCGGAAUUAUUGGGCGUAAAGGGCGCGUAGGUGGUUGUGAUAGUCAGAUGUGAAAUCCUUCGGCUCAAACGAAGAACUGCAUCUGAAACUUCAUAGCUCGAGUACAGGAGAGGGAAACGGAAUUCCCGGUGUAGAGGUGAAAUUCGUAGAUAUCGGGAGGAACACCAGUGGCGAAGGCGGUUUCCUGGCCUGAUACUGACGCUGAGGCGCGAAAGCGUGGGGAGCAAACAGGAGUAGAUACCCUGGUAGUCCCGGCUGUAAACGAUGAGUGCUAGGUGUGGAGGGCUACAAUCCUCCGUGCCGCAGUUAACGCAAUAAGCACUCCGCCUGGGGAGUACGGCCGCAAGGCUAAA
rnacentral:rRNA from 1 species